GGCUCUGUGGUCUAGUGGUAUGAUUCUCGCUUUGGGUCGAUAUCGAAGUUGCGAGAGGCCCCGGGUUCGAAUCCCGGCAGAGCCC